rnacentral:rRNA from 1 species
UGAGGAAUAUUGGUCAAUGGACGCAAGUCUGAACCAGCCAUGCCGCGUGCAGGAAGAAGGUGCUAUGCAUUGUAAACUGCUUUUAUACGGGGGUAAGUUACAGAUACGUGUAUCUGGUUGAAAGUACCGUAUGAAUAAGGAUCGGCUAACUCCGUGCCAGCAGCCGCGGUAAUACGGAGGAUCCGAGCGUUAUCCGGAUUUAUUGGGUUUAAAGGGUGCGUAGGCGGUCAGGUAAGUUAGAGGUGAAAGCUCGAUGCUCAACAUCGAAACUGCCUCUGAUACUGUCUGGCUAGAGUGUAGUUGCGGAAGGCGGAAUGUGUGGUGUAGCGGUGAAAUGCUUAGAUAUCACACAGAACACCGAUUGCGAAGGCAGCUUUCCAAGCUAUUACUGACGCUGAGGCACGAAAGCGUGGGGAGCGAACAGGAUUAGAUACC